UACGUAGGGGGCAAGCGUUAUCCGGAAUUACUGGGUGUAAAGGGAGCGUAGACGGUGAUGUAAGUCUGGAGUGAAAGGCGGGGGCCCAACCCCCGGACUGCUCUGGAAACUAUGUGACUGGAGUGCAGGAGAGGUGAGCGGAAUUCCUAGUGUAGCGGUGAAAUGCAUAGAUAUUACACAGAACACCGAUUGCGAAGGCAGCUUGCUAGGCCGGAUCUGACACUGAUGCACGAAAGCGUGGGGAUCGAACAGG
rnacentral:rRNA from 1 species